rnacentral:rRNA from 1 species
GACGAACGCUGGCGGCGUGCUUAACACAUGCAAGUCGAACGGAAAGGCCCUGCUUUUGUGGGGUGCUCGAGUGGCGAACGGGUGAGUAACACGUGAGUAACCUGCCCUUGACUUUGGGAUAACUUCAGGAAACUGGGGCUAAUACCGGAUAGGAGCUCCUGCUGCAUGGUGGGGGUUGGAAAGUUUCGGCGGUUGGGGAUGGACUCGCGGCUUAUCAGCUUGUUGGUGGGGUAGUGGCUUACCAAGGCUUUGACGGGUAGCCGGCCUGAGAGGGUGACCGGCCACAUUGGGACUGAGAUGCGGCCCAGACUCCUACGGGAGGCAGCAGUGGGGAAUAUUGCAGAAUGGACGGAAGCCUGAUGCAGCAACGCCGCGUGCGGGAUGACGGCCUUCGGGUUGUAAACCGCUUUCGCCUGUGACGAAGCGUGGGUGACGGUAAUGGGUAAAGAAGCACCGGCUAACUACGUG